GCCCCCGGCCCGCCCGGCCCCGCCUUCCCGCCGCCUCCUUUGUGUGCCAGCCGGCCGCAGCGUCCCCGCGCCGGCGCUCCGGGACGCCCCGAGUCCCGUUGCAGCCUCGCGGGGGCCGCCCCAAAGGGGUCCCCGUCGUGGGGCUGCGUCCAGAAAGCGCCGGGAGAAGCGGCGACCCCGAGGGAAGUGAUUCAAGACAAAGACCCAUUCUGCCAGUGGGAUAUGCCAGGAAUACCAACUGUGCUUGUUGCAGAACGUGCAUGGCUGGUGUUGGCCAGCCUUCCUGAUGCCAGCAAGGGGAUACAGACGCAACCUCCCAAGCUUUCCAUGAUGUUCAAGUGACCAGGCGCUUCGACACCCAUCAUUAGAGGGCUGCCCCAAAGAAGCUGUGUCCUGUGUUGGUUGGUGGCCAUGAGCAGCGGUCCUUGCAGUGUUUGACCCACUUUGAAAUGUGUUUCUCAUAGAUGUGCACUUUCAAUCAGCGUUUCCCUCAUCUCGUCUCAGUCUUAUUUGAGAAAUGCAAACUGUUUAAUGCUCCUACCUGCCUCUUUCUGUGCCUCUUCCCAUUCACAGCAGAAUGUCAUUUUGUCCUUCAAUUGUGUGGCUUGCCUUAAUUGUCUGAUAGAGCUUCAAAUUGUUUAUUCCUUCAAAAAAUUUUAAAAAGUGACCUGGAGUUUUGCCAGCUCCAGCCAGUCUCUGAGUUUGGCUUUGUGUCCAUAAGCUGCAGUUGGGAGAAACGCAAGAAAUGCCCAAACAGAAUAAAACAAAUGAUCUAUUUAGUCUCGUUUCCUCUCUUGGACGAGGUCCAGUGUUGAGUGCUUUGGAAGAAGAUGAAAAUCCCCCGCCCCGCCCCCGCUGCUCCCCAUACACCCAAACAGUAUGACCUUGUAUCUAAGUAAAAACUAUCCUUAGCUCCCAAUGGGUGAUGGUGUUUUGUCUGGAAGAGUGACUGAUGUUAUGAUAAUAAGAUGAUAGUAGUUGCCUCUCUCCUGUCUAACCCCUAUUUAAAACACAUUACACCACAGCAGUACUUGUUACACAAUAUUACAGAAGCAAAUGCUGUUAUGUAAGAUUGUUUCAACCAGGGGAAAGUAGACUGCUUAUAAAAGUUCGCUUAUACAAUUAGUUUCUGGGACUGUUGGGUUCGUAUGAUUUUUUCGUUCGUAUGAUUUUUUUUUCUUUAGCUUAUAAAAGGCGUUUGUCUUUUGAUUUCCCUUUCAAGUUGGCUUUCAAAUAAAUCUAAUUUCCUCUUUCUGUAAGUUCUGAAACAGAUU
rnacentral:lncRNA from 1 species